ensembl:lncRNA
UUUUAUUUAAUGAUUUUUUUCCAUUAUAGCUGGUUUACAGUGUUCUGUCAGUUUUCUACUAUGCAGCAAGGUGACCCAGUCACACAUACACAUAAACAUUCCUUUUUCUCACAUUAUCAUGCUCCGCCAUAAGUGACUAGACAUAGUUCCCAGUGCUAUACAGCAGGAUAUCAUUGCUUAUUCAUCCAAAGGCAAUAGUUUGCAUCUAUUAUUAACCCCAAAUUCCCAAUCCAUCCCACUCCCUCCCCUUCCCCCUAGGCAACCACAAGUCUAUUCUCCAAGUCCAUGAUUUUCUUUUCUGUGGAAAGAUUCAUUUGUGCCUUAUAUUAGAUUCCAGAUAUAAGUGAUAUCAUAUGGUAUCUGUCUUUCUCUUUCUGACUUACUUCACUCAGGAUGAAAGUCUCUAGUUCCAACCAUGUUGCUGCAUAUGGCAUUUUGUUCUUUUUAUGGCUGAGGAGUAUUCCAUUGUGAUAUAUACCACAUCUUCCUAGUCCAGUCAUCUGUCGAUGGACAUUUGGGUUGUUUCUAUGUGUUGGCUAUUGUGAAUAGUGUUGCAAUAAACAUACAGGUGCAUGUGUAUUUUUCAAGGAAAGUUCUGUCUAGAUAUAUGCCAAAGAGUGGGAUAUCUGGGUCAUAUGGUAGCUCUAUGUAUAGUUUUCUAAAGUACCUCCAUACUGUUCUCCAUACUGGUUGUACCAAUUUACAUUCCCACCAACAGUGCAGAAGGAUUCCCUUUUCUCCACACUCUCUCCAACAUUUGUUAUUUGUGGACUUAUUAAUGAUGGCCAUUCUGACUGGCAUGAGGUGGUACACCUCAUAGUAAUUUUGAUGUGCAUUUCCCUAAUAAUCAGUGAUGUUGAGCAUUUUUGCAUGUGCUUGUUAGCCACCUGUAUAUCUUCUUUGGAGAAAUGUCUGUUCAGGUCUUCUGCCCAUUCUUCAGUUGGGUUGUUGGUAUCUUUGCUGUUGAGUUCUAUAAGUUGUUUGAAUAUUUUAGAGAUUAAGCCCUUGUCAGUUGUAUCAUUUUCAACUAUUUUCUCCCAUUCUGUAAGUUGUCUUAGAAAUUGAUUUUAAAAUUCUGAUUUUUCAUACAGAAAUCUUGCAAAACACUCUAUAAGUUUCAUGGUUUAACUGUGAAUUAUUUAAAAAAUUUUAGAUAUAAUCAUAAUAUUUGCAAAUAAUAGAAGUUUACUUUCAGGAGGUCCCUUUGUGUCCCAGUGAACUUGACUAGUAUCCAUGAGGAUGCAGGUUUGAUCCCUGGUUUUGCUCAGUGGGUUAAGGAUCCAGUGUUUCUGUGAACUGUGGUAUAGGUUGCAAAUGUGGCUCAGAUCCCACAUUGUUGUGGCUGUGGUGCAAGCCAGCAGCUGCAGCUCUGACUCAACCCCUAGCCUGGGAACUUCCGUAUGCUGCAGGUGCGGCCCUAAAAAAAAAAAAAUUACUUUUAUAUUUUCGUUUCAAAACUUUAUACAAUUUCAUGUCUUUUGUGUUGCCUGCUGCAUUACUAUGAACUUGAGCAACUGUUGAAUAGGAGUGAUAAUAUCCUUCCUUGUUCCCAAUUUCGAAGGGAAUAAUCUCAUUAUCUCAUCACUAAAUAUUUUGUCAUUUUGCUUGUUGUAGACAUCCAUUAUUAGAUCAUUGAAUGUCUGUUUUAAACAGGUUUGCUAAGAGCAUUUUUUCAUCAUAAAUGAAUGUUGAAUUUCAUCAUGUACAUUUUCUGCAUCUGUCAAGAUUAUCAUGAUUUUGCCCUUCAAUUAAUUACUGCAGCAUGUUACAAGGAGUGGAU